CAGCAGCCGCGGUAAUACGUAGGGUGCGAGCGUUAAUCGGAAUUACUGGGCGUAAAGCGUGCGCAGGCGGUUGUGUAAGACAGGUGUGAAAUCCCCGGGCUUAACCUGGGAACUGCGCUUGUGACUGCACAGCUAGAGUAUGGCAGAGGGGGGUGGAAUUCCGCGUGUAGCAGUGAAAUGCGUAGAGAUGUGGAGGAACACCGAUGGCGAAGGCAGCCCCCUGGGCCAAUACUGACGCUCAUGCACGAAAGCGUGGGGAGCAAACAGGAUUAGAUACCCGCGUAGUCCCUGUCUCUUAUAC
rnacentral:rRNA from 1 species